CACGUAGGGGGCAAGCGUUGUCCGGAAUUACUGGGCGUAAAGAGCGCGCAGGCGGCUGGUCAAGUCCGAUGUGAAAGCUCCCGGCUUAACUGGGAAAUUGCAUCGGAAACUGAUCGGCUUGAAGGUGGGAGAGGGUAGUGGAAUUCCCGGUGUAGUGGUGAAAUGCGUAGAUAUCGGGAGGAACACCAGUGGCGAAGGCGACUACCUGGCCCACUCUUGACGCUGAGGCGCGAAAGCUAGGGGAGCGAACGGG
rnacentral:rRNA from 1 species